GACGAACCGAGCGAACGUUGUUCGGAAUCACUGGGCUUAAAGGGCGCGUAGGCGGGUGCUCAAGUCUGUGGUGAAAUCCUCCGGCUCAACCGGAGAACUGCCAUGGAUACUGGGUGCCUCGAGGGUGAUAGGGGUAUGCGGAACUAUCGGUGGAGCGGUGAAAUGCGUAGAUAUCGCUUGGAACGCCAAAGGUGAAAACAGGUAGCUGGGGGUGUGCUGACACUGAGACACGAAAGCCAGGGGAGCAAACGGG
rnacentral:rRNA from 1 species